CAGCCAAGGUCAGCGUCCAGCAAGCCUUUUUUUUCAACCUUUGACCUCGGAUCAGGUAGGGAUACCC
rnacentral:rRNA from 1 species